UACGAAGGGGACUAGCGUUGUUCGGAAUUACUGGGCGUAAAGCGCACGUAGGCGGCUUUGUUAGUCAGGGGUGAAAUCCCGGGGCUCAACCUCGGAACUGCCUUUGAUACUGCAAGUCUCGAGUCCGAUAGAGGUGGGUGGAAUUCCUAGUGUAGAGGUGAAAUUCGUAGAUAUUAGGAAGAACACCAGUGGCGAAGGCGGCCCACUGGAUCGGUACUGACGCUGAGGUGCGAAAGCGUGGGUAGCGAACAGG
rnacentral:rRNA from 1 species